AGGAGGAGGUAUUAAUGAAGAUAACUUAGCAGAGAUAUUACAAGAAACUGGGGCGAGAGAAUUUCACGGCUCUGCCAGAGCUCAUGUUACUUCUCAAAUGAAAUAUCACAAUACCUGUGUUUCAAUGGGAAGGACUGGGGAGGAAUAUGGACAUAUGGUAGCCAGUUUGGAGAGGAUAAAACGUCUGACAAUGAUAGCAAAGGAUUUUAUACAGUAAGUCCACUGAAUUUCCCCCUUGUCCCGCCUGCAAGGCCGAAGGCGGCGGGCGAGGGUGGUAACCUCCGACCCGAUACUAAUUAGGGGUGCACCGGAUUUCAAAUCCGGCCGGAAUUCCGGCCGGAUUUAACGAAUUUUCCGGCAUCCGGCUUCCGGCCGGAUUUGGAGAAAAUCCGGCCGGAUUUAAAUUUCUGUUUUCACCUUAAAAGCUUCACCAAGAAUGGGAUAAACCAUCAAUUUGGCAGCUUUAAAGUUUAAAAAACAC